CGGAUUUUUUGUUUAGUUCCCCCGCAGCGCGAGCAGGACGCUACUGCCACCCAGCGGCGCGGAGAAGCAGCGCAGCGUUUAUUCCGCGGCGCUGCAGUGAGAUGGCCGCUUUCAGAUCAGCAAGUGACAGAGUAGAGAAAAGAUGACAAGAUGUGACAAAAAUGUCCUUAUGAUCGAUCAGAUGUGUAACUGCGAUCAGAGCAGUGAAUCAUGGGAAAGUUAUUCAGGAUUGAUAAGUCACUGUGGGCAGGAAGCCAGCGCUGCUCUCUCACACACCCUAAUUUAGCCUCCACUGGGAGCCGAAAGCGCUGCUGUAAACCCAUGCAGCAGUAACAGAGACCUGUUCAGCACACGGCCGCCAUUUUCUGAGAAUACACUGCUGUUCAGCACACGACGAGUGCGAACACUUACUAAUACACACACAAUCCCUGAGGCAUAAUCACUGAAACACUCUUACUAGCCAAGCGAUUCUCUGCCAAGUUACGACAAAUGUGCUGGACUGACUUUUAAUCCUAGUAGAGCUGCCACCUCACAGCUCCAGGGUCCCAGCAUCUCUGCUUUCCUCCCAAAACUUGCCAGUAGAUGGAUUAGCUACUCUGAAUUGUUCCUACACUCUUAGAAAAUGCACAAAAAGGAAAACAAUCAACGACGGAGUGGUGCAAUGAAGCAGUUACUGUUACCACUGUGAAGCUGAAAGAUUAUUUUCCUAUAACAGCAAGCCCCAAGUGUUUUAUUCCUCAUACACCACAGCAAUCUGCCAACAAUUAUUAUUUUUAUUUAUUAAAGAAAUAACGUCAUACUUUUUAUCCAUUAAUAGUUACAUUUAAUGUUGUGAAAACAUGGUAGUUCCUGUUCUCACUUACGUUAUAGCAGCUAUAAACAGUCGUUCCCUCACCAGUUUCUCUUUGUCUCUCUCACCUGAAUUUAAGACUAAAUAAAUAAAUAAAUAAAUAAAUAAAUAAAUGCAGCUUGUCAUGUUACCCAGAAAAAAGCGUAAACUCCUCUGUCCUGAAGAUGUCGGAAAUCUUACAGUUCCAGCUUUACCUCUGGCACUGACACUGGAGACUCCUUCCAUAAAUGUUACAUAAACACAUUUCUCCUGACAGAAUAUUUAACCAUUUCAACAAUUACACACGAUUGUUUAUUCGGUUUAUUAUCAGUUCAGCGCCCGCUGUACACGUCCCUGUGAAUGAGCUGUUACUAUAGAAACGAUAUAAAUAUAAACCUGCACUAUUGUCAGAGCUGCUGUUAUAGAAAAUUAAUCAACACCUUCUAACCAAUCAGAAUCCAGAACUGGUAUAAAGACUUUUAAAAAAGAUGUAAAGCUUGUGAUUUAAGGAACAAUCCAGAACAUCUGAACAAUUUUAACAAUGACAAGGAAGAGAAGAAAGACUAAAAAAAAAAUAGGAUGGAGGGUUAUGAGGGUUGUGAGGAGGCGGGACGAUGGCAGCUGUGUGUGUGUGUGUGUGUGUGUGUGUGUGUGUGUGUGUGUGUGCAGGCUAGCUGUCCUGUCGCUCUGAUCUCUGCCCACAGGUGUGUGUUAUUUUCAGCCAUCCCCCUGUGCACUUCGCUUUGGCCCGAGGAACGGAGGAACCGAAUCCCGAAGCCUUUACGUCCCUUGAGAAAAGAAAGAGAUGUUAUUUCUUUUUUAGCGUUUUAUUCAUAUUGAGUGCUUUAUU